UAAGCUUUUUAAUCAAGUCCAGAGAGACUAGGAAAAGCGAAGCAGAUAGCUAUAUAGGGAUAAAUCUAUUCUUUUAUUGUCGAUGUCUGUUUUCGUACGCCUCGUUUCUAAUUUAGAUACGAGGCUUUUUUUAU
rfam:Vagococcus fluvialis bH819 genome assembly, contig: Scaffold4